AGGUCCGUUAGUCUAUGAAGACAUUAAGUUGCAGCCUUAAAGAUGCAAAAAUCUGCACGGAUUUG
rnacentral:tRNA from 2 species